ensembl:lncRNA
CUCUAGCUGAAAGAAGCUAUAAAGGAUAGAAUGGUCUCCAGGUGACCCCCUUCACUGUGACCAAGGUAAUUCAACUGUAUGAGACCAAAACCUCCCGACACUCCUCGAUGAUCGUGGAGAAGACGGGCAGCGGCAAGACGGUCACAUGGAGAACCCUUCAAAACGCCCUUAGCACCCUGCACCGCAACGGAGAACCGGGAUUCAACCUCAUACAAGAGUGUCCCCUAAACCCCAAGGCAGUGAGCCUGUGAGAGCUGUAUGGAGAAUAUAACCUCUCCACCAAUGAGUGCACAGAUGGUGUCCUCUCUUCGCUCAUGAUGGUGCCCUGCGCAGAUAGCAGAGAGCAGGUGCGACAUCAGCUGAAUCACUGACAGAGACAGAGGAAAGACAGACAAUGAAUCCUGAGAACGAACAAACAUAAUAGAGAAAGAAAGAAGCAAAGAACGAGUGAAAUGAUGAGAAGCCUGAUGAGAAGUGGAUUGUGUUUGAUGGGCCAGUGGACACACUGUGGAUCGAGAGCAUGAACUCUGUAAUGGAUGACAACAAAGUCCUCACACUCAUCAACGGAGAGAGAAUCUCCAUGCCCGAACUGGUACCGGUGCCAGACUAAACUCGGCACACACUGAAACCUCUAAUGCCGUCCACCCAGGGUUAUUUCACUUCUGAUUCCAGACCUGAUACUGUGCACUUCACCUCACUAACCCAUCAGGUUACUACAUAGAACUAUUUAUAAUUUCCUUCGCUUAUGCCCU